AGUAAUACAUCGGAACGUGUCCCGUAGUGGGGGAUAGCCCGGCGAAAGCCGGAUUAAUACCGCAUAUGCUCUACGGAGGAAAGUGGGGGACCCGCAAGGGCCUCACGCUAUGGGAGCGGCCGAUGUCCGAUUAGCUUGUUGGCGGGGUAAUGGCCCACCAAGGCGACGAUCGGUAGCUGGUCUGAGAGGAUGAUCAGCCACACUGGGACUGAGACACGGCCCAG
rnacentral:rRNA from 1 species